AACGAACGCUGGCGGCGCGCCUAAUACAUGCAAGUCGAGCGAGAAGGUGUAGCAAUACACUUGUAAAGCGGCGAACGGGUGAGGAAUGCAUGGGUAACCUACCCUCGAGUGGGGAAUAACUAGCCGAAAGGUUAGCUAAUACCGCAUACGUUUCCGGAACUUCGGUUUCGGAAAGAAAGCAAUACCGUGGGUAUUGCGCUCCUGGAUGGGCUCAUGUCCUAUCAGCUUGUUGGUGAGGUAACGGCUCACCAAGGCUUCGACGGGUAGCUGGUCUGAGAGGACGAUCAGCCACACUGGCACUGCGACACGGGCCAGACUCCUACGGAGGCAGCAGUAAGGAAUAUUGCGCAAUGGACGAAAGUCUGACGCAGCGACGCCGCGUGGGGAUG
rnacentral:rRNA from 1 species